rnacentral:rRNA from 1 species
CGGAGGAUCCAAGCGUUGUCCGGAAUCAUUGGGUUUAAAGGGUCCGUAGGCGGUCCUGUAAGUCAGUGGUGAAAGCCCAUCGCUCAACGGUGGAACGGCCAUUGAUACUGCAGGACUUGAAUUACUGGGAAGCAACUAGAAUAUGUAGUGUAGCGGUGAAAUGCUUAGAGAUUACAUGGAAUACCAAUUGCGAAGGCAGGUUGCUACCGGUGGAUUGACGCUGAUGGACGAAAGCGUGGGUAGCGAACAGGAUUAGAUACCCUGGUAGUCCACGCCGUAAACGAUGGAUACUAGCUGUUGGGAGCGAUCUCAGUGGCUAAGCGAAAGUGAUAAGUAUCCCACCUGGGGAGUACGAACGCAAGUUUG